CCCAUUUGUCAGAUCUGAGACCUAAUCAGGGUCAGAGCCAGUUAGUACUUGGAUGGGAGACUGGGAGUGCCAAGGUACAAAAAGGA
rnacentral:rRNA from 1 species